AGAGUUUGAUCCUGGCUCAGAAUCAACGCUGGCGGCGCGCCUAACACAUGCAAGUCGAACGAGAAAGCAGGAGCAAUCUUGUGAGUAAAGUGGCGUACGGGUGAGUAACACGUGGAUCAUCUACCUUCUAGUGGGGGAUAACCCUGGGAAACCGGGGCUAAUACCGCAUAAGCUCGAGAGAGGAAAGCAGCAAUGCGCUGGAAGAGGAGUCCGCGGCCGAUUAGCUAGUUGGUAGGGUAAAAGCCUACCAAGGCUACGAUCGGUAGCCGGCCUGAGAGGGCACACGGCCACACUGGCACUGAAACACGGGCCAGACUCCUACGGGAGGCAGCAGUGGGGAAUCUUGCACAAUGGGGGCAACCCUGAUGCAGCGACGCCGCGUGAGCGAUGAAGCCCUUCGGGGUGUAAAGCUCUUUCGGCAGGGAAGAUUAUGACGGUACCUGCAGAAGCAGCUGCGGCUAACUACGUGCCAGCAGCCGCGGUAAUACGUAGGCAGCAAGCGUUGUUCGGAGUUACUGGGCGUAAAGGGUGUGUAGGCGGUUCUCUAAGUCUGGUGUGAAAUCUCCCGGCUCAACUGGGAGGGUGCGCCGAAAACUGGAGGACUAGAGUGCGGGAUGGGAGAGUGGAAUUCCUGGUGUAGCGGUGAAAUGCGUAGAUAUCAGGAGGAACACCUGUGGUGUAGACGGCUCUCUGGACCGCAACUGACGCUGAGACACGAAAGCGUGGGUAGCAAACAGGAUUAGAUACCCCCGUAGUCC
rnacentral:rRNA from 1 species